GUGCUUGCUUUGGGAGCACAUAUACUAAAAUUGGAGUAUACAGAGAAGAUUAGCAUGGCACCAGAGCAAAGAUUCAUGAAGCAUUCUAUACAAAGAAAUAAUAAUCACUGUA
rfam:Otolemur garnettii contig069747, whole genome shotgun sequence.